rnacentral:rRNA from 1 species
AUUGAACGCUGGCGGCAGGCCUAACACAUGCAAGUCGAGCGAGUGGCGGACGGGUGAGUAAUGUCUGGGAAACUGCCUGAUGGAGGGGGAUAACUACUGGAAACUGUAGCUAAUACCGCAUACCAUCGGAUGAGCCCAGAUGGGAUUAGCUAGUUGGUGGGGUAACGGCUCACCAAGGCGACGAUCCCUAGCUGGUCUGAGAGGAUGACCAGCCACACUGGAACUGAGACACGGUCCAGACUCCUACGGGAGGCAGCAGUGGGGAAUAUUGCACAAUGGGCGCAAGCCUGAUGCAGCCAUGCCGCGUGUAUGAAGAAGGCCUUAGGGUUGUAAAGUACUUUCAGCGGGGAGGCGUUACCCGCAGAAGAAGCACCGGCUAACUCCGUGCCAGCAGCCGCGGUAAUAC